GAUGAACGCUAGCUACAGGCUUAACACAUGCAAGUCGAGGGGAAACGAUAUUGGAAGCUUGCUUCCGAUAGGCGUCGACCGGCGCACGGGUGAGUAACGCGUAUCCAACCUGCCCACCACUUGGGGAUAACCUUGCGAAAGUAAGACUAAUACCCAAUGACGUCCAUAGAAGACAUCUGAAAUGGAUUAAAGAUUUAUCGGUGAUGGAUGGGGAUGCGUCUGAUUAGCUUGUUGGCGGGGUAACGGCCCACCAAGGCGACGAUCAGUAGGGGUUCUGAGAGGAAGGUCCCCCACAUUGGAACUGAGACACGGUCCAAACUCCUACGGGAGGCAGCAGUGAGGAAUAUUGGUCAAUGGGCGAGAGCCUGAACCAGCCAAGUAGCGUGCAGGAUGACGGCCCUAUGGGUUGUAAACUGCUUUUAUAGGGGAAUAAAGUGAGCUACGUGUAGUUUUUUGCAUGUACCCUAUGAAUAAGGACCGGCUAAUUCCGUGCCAGCCGCCGCAGUAA
rnacentral:rRNA from 1 species